UGCUAGUCUAGUGGUUUAAGGACUGGAAUACAGCUCUGGAGACCAGGGUUCGAUUCCCUGCUUGGCCA